rnacentral:rRNA from 1 species
UACGGAGGGCGCAAGCGUUGUUCGGAAUCAUUGGGCGUAAAGCGCGUGUAGGCGGCUUGGCAAGUCGGAUGUGAAAUCCCGGGGCUCAACCCCGGAACUGCAUUCGAAACUGCCUCGCUAGAGUCCCGGAGGGGAGGGCGGAAUUCCCGGUGUAGAGGUGAAAUUCGUAGAUAUCGGGAGGAACACCAGUGGCGAAGGCGGCCCUCUGGACGGUGACUGACGCUGAGAUGCGAAAGCGUGGGGAGCAAACAGG